AACUCUUCUCCCCAAAAAAUGCAACAUUUUAUUACACCAUAUUUGCACAUGUUAUACAUGUUGUGAUACCAAUCAUGACACUUAGUAUUAUCUAGAUGACUUAGAUCGACUAUAAUAAGGUCAGCUACUAUAUGUACUAACGAAUUAAAUAUGUUAUUCUAAGAAAUAUAACUUCUUGAAGUUCAGUUAAACAAAAAAAACCAUUAACCUUAACAACAACAGGCUAGAUUGCCUGUAUUUUACUAUUACCAACUGUCACAAAAUGACAGUUGGCAAUUUGACUUUUUCCCUUUAAGGGUUAAUUGCAAUAGCACACGCUUAUCGUCUUUAUUAAGGUUCAAUUUACACUGAAAGAGCAGUGGCCGCGCCGCGCUGGCAGUCUUUAUAUAACAAAUCAUUUUGAAUUUAAUAUAUAUGAGUGAAAAGUUCAAAGUCAUUUGGAGGCAAGGGAAGCAUCCAAACGGUAAUUAUAAAGCAGGAGGAUCUACUACUAUUCUUAAAGUAAUAAUAAUAUUCUUGUGGAAGCGUGACAGCGCUAUACACGGCGUAGAGCGGCAUCUCUUUUCCACACCCGCCAUUAUACUACCUACUUUAAGAAAUGGCAGUAAGCCCUGAGACACGAAUCGAUCUGAUAUCGAGCGUAUGAUACAAGGUCAGUGUUUAUUUAAUCUGUAUUCAGUUAGGAAUAACACAUUAAACUCGUUUACAUACAUAAUAAAUAAUUUACAAUAAAAUACAUAUUUCAAAAAAGGCUUUCAAAACAGUCUACACCAAAAUUAUAAUAAAAAAACAUGGUCCAAUUUAUAAAUUAAAAUGCACAUCAAAAUUUAUAUUUAAAACGAUCAUAAAUCAAUCAUAAUCCAAUCGAACUUAUUAAGUACGAAAAUAUAAAAAUACAAAAAAAAUGUCCAAAUAAAGUCUUUUCAGUGUCAAAUAAAUAGAUCAAAGUUGUUCGUAUUUUAAAAUAUCUUUGGAUAUACUGGGGUAGACGACAUUAUUUAUGUAAGGGUUGAUUUUUAUAUUAAAAAAAAAUAGGAGAGACGAUUGUAGAAGUUACAUACACAAGAUACAGAAGUUACAAGCCGUUCCCUUUCAGUAAUUUGAUAUUUCGCAAGUCAUUGCACUGCUGUCGUAAUUUAUAUUUAUCAUUGGGUACAAUAUCUUCUAUCUGAAAAAGAGCUGGAACGUAUAAAAAAACAUCGUCUAAUAUUUUUUUAUUAACCCAACUGUCGGAUUUAUACACUAACUUUUUAUCGCAGGAAAGGUUUUUCAGGUCAAAUUUUAAGUUAUUGACAUCAAAAAUCAUCUAAUUAAAAGCUUAUACAAAAUGCAGUUUGGUCUUGAUUUAAAAUAUACCGCACCGCAAUUAAAAUGAAAAACAUUAACUUACUAAAUCAGUUAUAAAUAAAAUGUUUAUACAUUUAAUUUGUGAUAUGCAAUUAUGACACUUAUAGCCCAGACAACACAAGAAAAAUUGGCAGCUAAUUUUAUACGCUGUUUUAUCAAAACAAAAAUGCUUUUUAAAUAUAUCUUUAACAAAAUUUAGGACAUAUUUGAUCAGCAAAUAUAGCAGUAGAAAACUUAUAAAUGCUUGAAAUAUUUUCCUUAGCUACAUAUAUGUAUACGUUAGUUAAAAGAAGAUACAGCAGCGAUUAUACAGGGUGUCCCAAAA